GGAGUUGGCACUCACAGGAGCCUACCGUAUGUGGAGCUAUUAUUGUUCUGGCCACGAGGGCAUGCGCACCAGCACGGGUCCUCGCAUGACGCCUGGAACAAGUUCAGUUCUGGAGGCCCCUGGCAUCCACUCACGCUGAAGGGUCAUUACAGACACCAAUGAAAGCUUGUGCUCCUGGAAAGCUUUCAAACAGCAAGAUGGCUUCUUGGCAGAUGUGGCACUCACAUGUCCACAGCAGCAGAGGAGGACAGCAACUGGAGUCAGCAGAUCGGAGAGAUGUCAACGCAGAGAGCGUGGCAGAGGCCAGAGACAGUGGACUCUGAAACCUGGAAGGCAGUACUUGGGCUGAGGUCACAGCAUUCACAGCAGCUCCCGAGACAGCAAGACUGAGACUCUAAAUCAGCAACUCUGAUAUUCUAGCUACUGCCUGUCACUGUCACAGCCUUGGGAAUCACCUCCUGCUGCCAUUCAUCCUGUAUUUUCAUACCAUGCACACCUCAGAUGGAGCACACUCAUCCAGAAUCAUGCCUAUGGCACAGGAUGCUGCAGUCAGGUCUCAAGUACAGGAAAGGAGUGACAGAAAACCCUUCCUCAUGACAAAGACCUUAUCAUGUCUCUCAUGAGGCAUCCGAGAGAACUGAGGAAGCCAGGUACCCAGAUUCCUGGGUAGGCAUCACUUCCUCUGCUCUUGUACGUCUCACCCCAGUGACAAAGGGCAGAUUUACAAACAGCUCAGGACAGGAAGUUAGCCUAAGGGGAGAAUCACUGCUGAUGAUUAGUCAAAGAAGAACUUGUUGGGGCACAGGGACCAGUCAAAGGUCACACACCCACAGGGCCAACGCUGGCUUAUGAUAAAAAAUGAGUCUGCUUGGGGGAGCCUGCCCUCUGGACAACACCUUCACAAGGUUAUAGAGUCUCAGCCUGAGGAUGGGAUUUAACAGGUACCUGCCAAGCACACAGGGCAAAGGAGAGUCUGUAAAGAUCCUUUAUCCCCUGUACACUGUGUUCCAGCUGCUGGUUAAACACUGCUGUACGAGUAACGCUAAGAACAGUGUUAGUGCUUCACAGUCAUACACACAGACCGUGUACUGGGAGAGACAGCUCGUCAGCCACACGUGCCCAUUAUGCCCCAGCUGUGACCCAUCAGAAGCAGGACUGGUCACACGGGCCCCUGAGCCGGCAGCCGCUCCGUGAGGAGCUCAGCCGUGACUCCCCUGCCCCGAGUCACCGCCACGGCAGAGCCCAC
rnacentral:lncRNA from 1 species